rnacentral:tRNA from 1 species
UUUUAUUAAUGACUGGAAUAAAACGAAACAAUUUCGAAAUCUAAAUGAUGAAUCCAAAAAUUCUAUGGAAUUU